rnacentral:rRNA from 1 species
UGUGGCCGAAAGGGAAAGAUUUAUUGCCUGAAGAUGAGCUCGCGUCUGAUUAGCUAGUUGGUGUGGUAAGAGCGCACCAAGGCGACGAUCAGUAGCUGGUCUGAGAGGAUGAUCAGCCACACUGGGACUGAGACACGGCCCAGACUCCUACGGGAGGCAGCAGUGGGGAAUUUUCCGCAAUGGGCGAAAGCCUGACGGAGCAAUACCGCGUGAGGGAGGAAGGCUCUUGGGUUGUAAACCUCUUUUCUCAGGGAAUAAGUUCUGAAGGUACCUGAGGAAUAAGCAUCGGCUAACUCCGUGCCAGCAGCCGCGGUAAUACGGAGGAUGCAAGCGUUAUCCGGAAUGAUUGGGCGUAAAGCGUCCGCAGGUGGCACUGUAAGUCUGCUGUUAAAGAGCAAGGCUCAACCUUGUAAAGGCAGUGGAAACUACAGAGCUAGAGUACGUUCGGGGCAGAGGGAAUUCCUGGUGUAGCGGUGAAAUGCGUAGAGAUCAGGAAGAACACCGGUGGCGAAAGCGCUCUGCUAGGCCGUAACUGACACUGAGGGACGAAAGCUAGGGGAGCGAAUGGGAUUAGAUACACCAAAUUAAGUCACAGGGGGAGGGGGGGGGUACCUGAUCCCAUUAUCACCUUCCCCCACCCGCCCGGAGGGGGAGGGGGGGGAUCUCAUCCCAUUGCCGCACGUCCCCCCCCCCGGCGGAGUCGGGGUUUACUGGCAAGAUUUUAAGCGGUGAACCCGCCAUAGAGGAAGCCGUA